CAAUAAGUUAGAAUUUUUAACAAUAAAUUAGUAACAAUGUGAAUUGCGAAUAAGUUUUAAAAAUGAACUAAAUACAAAUGCAUACAUAAAUUAUACUUUUUAUAAAUUAUAAUGUUUAAGAUAAUAUAAUUCUUUUAUAGUCUUUUUACAGUUCUUAUAAAAAAAUAACUGUUUAUCUAAAAGUAUCAUUUUUUGCGUUUCUCGGAAUAUUAAGUUUCUUUCAUAAUGUUUUCUCGUAAUCGAUUUUCAACUGAAUCGAUAUCGAUUCGUCAUUCGUAUGUCAUGACAGACAUAAAAGAAAGAAAAAAGGGGCAAGAAAAUAGGCGAUUAAAUAUUCUUUAUAGAGUAAGAGUCAAUGCGAGAUUCGAUCGAUCCUUCAAACAAUUCGCCAAUGAAUGCACGAAUGAAGCAAAAUUAGAAAUAGGCUGCAUCGAAAAGAUUUGAACAGUUGUGUCUCGAGUUUCUGGAGGCCUGGCCAAAAGCCAAAAUUUUCAAGUAUCGCAAUAUCGUAUCGAAUUUUUUUUUCAAAAUUUUCAAUUCUCGAUCGUAAAUUCUUUAACAAUUUUCCAUUAUAAUCGAUAAAAAGAACAAAAAGAACAAAAGGAAAAAUAAGAAAAAUUAAAAAUCGUUGAGAAAGACGUUGAAUUGAACUUCAAGAAAAAUGAAUGGAAUUACGAAAGACUGUAGAAGUAUAUCUGUAUACAUGUGAUAUAGCAGAUAAAUUGAUUGUCGAACUGAUUAAGCGGCAGCCGUAUGCGUUCUUUCGUUUGAAAUAUAGAGACAGUGCAUUAUAAAUCGCAGUUAAGAAUCGAACAGGUGGCUGGCAAGGCUGAGCCGAAAACGAAAUAUAUCUAUUCUCGUCUGAUCGGAUAUAAUCGAAUACGUUCACCCAUGUGAAUUCAGUAUAGUGCGUGAUUGAAAUUUAUCGUUAUACAGGAUUGAAAUAAAUAAAAGAAAUCAACGAAAACUAAUAGUAACCAAUGUAAGCAAAUAUUUAUUUCGCAAAAACGUCGUACUUGAAAUGAUCGGUAACUUUUGCGCUGUUCAUAAAUACUAAACACGAACAUGGUGGAGCAUACACCGUAUCACGAACACACUCCGUCUUAAACUACACAACAGAUUUGAGAAAGAGAAGAAACAAAUAGGUAGUGGAGAGGAGAAAAGAAGAGAAAGAUAGAAAUGAAAGGAGAAUCAGAGGGAAAGAGAACGAGAGAGCGUAUACCCGACUUCCUAAUGUCGUUAAGUUAAACGAAUUAGGCCAGUUCUUCGAUACUCGCACAAUUUCUUAAUAUUUAGCAGAAAAAACAAUUUAUGAUUUCCACAAUUAAAAUGCGGACAAACGUUAACAAUAAUGAGAUUGGUCAUACGUUCAUUUAUAUGACUUCCAUCGAUCGAAAAUUAUCUGAAAAACGAAUGUGAAAUUCAUAGGAAUUCGUGGAUCACAGUUUAAAAAAUGUUAUUAUUCUAUAUUUCAAAAUCAUUGAAAUCGAUAUUUGCUUCUCAUGAUAUUAUUUAAAUCAGUUUUCUACAUAAUUACCAUAAUCACUAUCAAACUGUGUAAACAUUUGCAUUUGAUUGAACAAAAAAUCGAUUCAUUUAGAUUCUGUAUCUAAAAAUUUAAAGAUUAUAAUUUUGAAAACAAAAUCAAGAUUAAGAAACAAUCAAGGAAAAAACUGAUGAAUGAUUAUAAUCGAAUUUGUUAUAAUAUCGGUGGAACAUAGUAACAUGACGAUAAUAACAUGCAUUGACAUAUCCAACAACCAUGUAAUAUCAUCAAUCGUUAUAUACUCGUGUCACGCAUCUCUUCGCUGUUCUUCGUUCACGAUUCGUAAUGUUUUGAUUAAUGAGCCUAUCGGUUGGUAAGUGAAUCACAAAAGAUUUGUUUUACGAACGAUGAAACGAACACCUGAUUGCAUUUAUAGUAAUAUUUAGAAACAUCAUUGAAAUCUAAGUAAGAAAAUAGCAAUUCGAUAUUUUUAAUUUUAAUUUCAACUUUUUUGAGAAUGGGAAAUUUUUUUUAUUUAUUGCGUUAAAGGAUAUAAUGUAAGUAUAUAUAAUGCCAAUUAAAUUUUAAUUUAUCAUUCUAUCGCAUAUUAUUAUAUAUAUAUUUGAUUUAAAAAUUAAAAUUUUCAUUCGUAAAAAUUAUCUGCUUGUGAUCGAUUGUGAUUGUUAAGUAAUAAUUUUCAUUUGGAAUAUUAAAAGUUUUCGCAAUAAACAACGAUUUCAAAUGCUUUGUUUACACCUUCACUUUCUAUACAUGAUUGGGAAUGAUAUAGAAUGGAUUGGAAUGAAGUGGAACGGAAUGGAAUGAAACGAAACUGAAUGUAACUGAACGAAACGGAACGGAAUGGAACGGAAUGAAACGGAAUGGAAUGAAAUAAAAAAGAAAAAAGGAACAAGGUAUAUUGUGUAAGUAUAUAAGUAUCGUAAAAUAAGAUUUUUCUUUAAGCACAGGAAUAGAUAAUUUUCACAUUAACACUCACAUCACAAAUUGUGAUUCAAAUGGCACAUUCGAUAAUAGAAAAUAAAAUAAACGGUAAAAAUUAAAACAAAAUAAAAAUUUAAAGUAUCGCGUCACAUGGUUUUCCACUGUAUUUAUCGUAUCUCCGUUGAACGAUAUUACGCGGAAAAAUAAAAUAGUGACUCGCAUCAAGCAAACCAGAAUUGACGAAAUUAGCAAACGAAUCGUAUACGAAUGUGUUGCUUGACUGCGAGUCUCUUGCUAACUGAGCGUAGAACGGCCGUGACGGAGACACGCGAGCUCUGCUCGAGUCGAGCUCUUUCGUUACUGGAUCUUACACCGUCGACAUGUUCUCUCCUUCUCUUUCUUCCUCACUAUCCUUCUAAUACGCAUAUACUCCCUCCACCUCUUUUUCUUUCUUUUAUAUGUAUGCUGUGUAUACACGAAUACUAAUGCAACGCACAAGUCACCGCUGUUUCACCGAAGAAUACUCAUACAAUAGCUUAUUUUUUUCCAAUAGUUUUUCAGUUGGAUUUACAUCAAAUGGAACAUUCCGAUAAGUUUUUCAUGAAAUAGCAUAGAAUACCAAGUGAUCAAUUCGAUCGAUUUUAAUACUUAUUAAUAGGUGAAAAAAAUAUCAAUCGUGCAAGUUAAUCGCUAUUAAAUAAUUAUCGAUAAGUGUGUUUACGACUUCAAUAACGAUCAAUUUCUUUUAUAUAUCCAUUUACCCUAGUCACGUAUAGCAUCACUGUACGUGCAUGCAUUUCUGCGUGCACUGGAUGCCAUCAUAGAUAGAAUAGAAAUUAAACAGACAAUACCACGCCUAGAUACAUUCGUUGUGCAACAAGUACAUUUUAAGCGAACGAACGACCGGAAGGGAGAGAAGGAAGGAGGAAGAGAUUGUGGCGGAAGGAAAGACAUAAUAUACGGAUAUAGAAAGUUGUAAAUCCAUUAUAUUAAUUGACUUUGGGACUCGAUAUAAAAUGCACGAAACGAGCCUCCCGAGGCUAUGUUCACGGAAAAAAAUUGAAUGUCAAGAUAAAACAGGAUAAUUAACCACGCAAUCACAUUGCGAAGAAUUCAAUAUAGAAUUACUACAAGUGGAAAGUUUGGGAUAAUGCGUUCAAUGCUCGAAAAGUUUCUCGAUCCAAAGAUUACGAACAUCUUAUUCUUAGUGUACAUACAUACUAGAAAGCGAAUCCUAUGCUAGCUAUAAGAUCCUGAUCGUAAAAGCGAGUGAGAAAAUAAUUAUAGAUUCUCGAAUCAACUUCGCAUCCUUGACACGAUCCACUUGUAUGCGUAUAUGAAUUUCAUGCGACACUGAUGUUAUUAUUCUGAACACACGUGUCAUAUGUAUUUAACCUUCGAUUUAUCGAUUCUCCAAACCUGUAUAAUCAAUGCGAAGUGGGUGAAGCGCACCCUUGGCAUUGUAUUAAGCAUAGAAGAGGUCUCGAAAGGACUACACGAUAAGAAACGCAUUAGAAUGUCAGAUAAAGAAAAGAAUGGAUUAAGAUCGAUGGAUAACAACUAUACAUACAAGUACUAUAAUCGAGAUUAACUAUAGGAGAAAACUUAUAAGUUCUUUUUUCUCAGAAAGCAAACAAUGAAUGACGUUUGUUAUAUUUCCAGUUGUUUAAAUGAAACGAUAUUUUAUUCUUUCAUUUCUUCAAAAAAUUUAGCAUGCAUGCAUAAAUAUGUAUAUGUAUAUAUUUACAUAUAUUAACCUUAAUAUCAAGAAACAAAUUGUAUCUCUAAUAUUUUCAAAGCAAUAAUGUUUCAAAAUUUUUUUGUCUAACUCUCUUUGUUCUAUA